CCUACGGGAGGCAGCAGUAGGGAAUAUUGGGCAAUGGAGGCAACUCUGACCCAGCCAUGCCGCGUGCAGGAAGAAGGCGUUAUGCGUUGUAAACUGCUUUUAUAUAGGAAGAAAUAGACCUUGCGAGGUAAGUUGACGGUACUAUAUGAAUAAGCACCGGCUAACUCCGUGCCAGCAGCCGCGGUAAUACGGAGGGUGCAAGCGUUGUCCGGAUUUAUUGGGUUUAAAGGGUGCGUAGGCGGUUUAUAAGUCAGUGGUGAAAGACGGUCGCUCAACGAUUGCAGUGCCAUUGAUACUGGUAGACUUGAGUGGGAUUGAGGUAGCUGGAAUGGAUAGUGUAGCGGUGAAAUGCAUAGAUAUUAUCCAGAACACCAAUUGCGUAGGCAAGUUACUAAGUCUCAACUGACGCUGAGGCACGAAAGUGUGGGUAUCAAACAGGAUUAGAUACCCCUGGUAGUCCACACUGUAAACGAUGAUAACUAACUGUUGGCUUUCGGGUCAGUGGUACAGAGAAAUCGUUAAGUUAUCCACCUGGGGAGAGCGCGACGAGAGUAAGAAGUAGAGNGNGAGAGAGCGAGACGACGACGAGGGAGGAGG
rnacentral:rRNA from 1 species